AUUGAACGCUGGCGGCAUGCCUUACACAUGCAAGUCGAACGGUAACAGGUCUUCGGAUGCUGACGAGUGGCGAACGGGUGAGUAAUACAUCGGAACGUGCCCGAUCGUGGGGAAUAACGGAGCGAAAGCUUUGCUAAUACCGCAUACGAUCUACGGAUGAAAGCAGGGGACCGCAAGGCCUUGCGCGGACGGAGCGGCCGAUGGCAGAUUAGGUAGUUGGUGGGAUAAAAGCUUACCAAGCCAACGAUCUGUAGCUGGUCUGAGAGGACGACCAGCCACACUGGGACUGAGACACGGCCCAGACUCCUACGGGAGGCAGCAGUGGGGAAUUUUGGACAAUGGGCGCAAGCCUGAUCCAGCAAUGCCGCGUGCAGGAAGAAGGCCUUCGGGUUGUAAACCGCUUUUGUACGGAGCGAAAAGGCUCUCUCUAAUACAGGGGGCUCAUGACGGUACCGUAAGAAUAAGCACCGGCUAACUACGUGCCAGCCGCCGCAGUAACAC
rnacentral:rRNA from 1 species